UACUGCAGAUGGGGUGCUAAGGGAGGGC
rnacentral:piRNA from 1 species